UACGUAGGGCGCAAGCGUUAAUCGGAAUUACUGGGCGUAAAGCGUGCGCAGGCGGUCUGCUAAGUGAGGUGUGAAAUCCCCGGGCUUAACCUGGGAACUGCGCUGCUAACUGGCAGGCUUGAGUGUGGCAGAGGGGGGUGGAAUUCCACGUGUAGCAGUGAAAUGCGUAGAUAUCAGGAGGAACACCGAUGGCGAAGGCAGGUCUCUGGGCUGACACUGACGCUCAUGCACGAAAGCGUGGGGAGCAAACAGG
rnacentral:rRNA from 1 species